CUACGGGGGGCUGCAGUGAGGAAUAUUGCACAAUGGGGGAAACCCUGAUGCAGCAACGCCGCGUGGAGGAUGACGCAUUUCGGUGUGUAAACUCCUUUUAUCAGAGAAGAAAAUGACGGUAUCUGAUGAAUAAGCUCCGGCUAACUCCGUGCCAGCAGCCGCGGUAAUACGGAGGGAGCAAGCGUUAUUCGGAAUCACUGGGCGUAAAGGACGCGUAGGCGGGUUUUUAAGUCAGGUGUGAAAUCCUAUGGCUCAACCAUAGAACUGCACUUGAAACUGGGGACCUAGAGGAUGGAAGGGGCAGGUGGAAUUAGUGGUGUAGGGGUAAAAUCCGUAGAUAUCACUAGGAAUACCGAAAGCGAAGGCGACCUGCUGGGACAUUACUGACGCUGAGGCGUGAAAGCGUGGGGAGCAAACAGGAUUAGAUACCCUAGUAGUC
rnacentral:rRNA from 1 species